rnacentral:lncRNA from 1 species
GCGGCACACGACUUUUAAUCAAUUUUUUUUUUAAAAAUGGUCUCUAAAAAUGUCAUGUCAAAGAAUUUAAUUUUCUUUUUGAAAAUAUAAAAUGGCCGUAAACUUGGAAACAUCAUAUUUGAGACACUUUAAUACUUAUCUUGGCAACAAUCUCGUAUUUGAAUCAUUGCCCUGCCAAAGAACGAAAAAGGUAUUGUAGUUUAAGCGAGGAGGCAGAGAUAGGUACGGUGAAAAUGUAGUUUGCUGAGCUGGAAGGUCUCUUACGAAUUGAAGGCGCACCGUAGUCGUUAAAGUCAAAUGAGACACUGAUGGUAUCCUAUUCUGCGAUUACACUGAUGGUUCUAAACCCCUGCCUCCUAAAAUUCAAGUAUUUUACAGUGCCAAUAAUCGUCAAUAUUUUCUUGCUUUGCAAUUUUUGGAGAAUAUACGCACAUCGCAGUUUUUGUAUUUUAUAAACAGAUGCUCAUGAAAUUACAUUCAAUCAAAAUUUGGCUGCCUUAAGUACGCUCCUCGGUAUUCUUUAACUGUGUUCUUUGUAUUCUUUUAACUUUAUUCUUGUUUUCGUUUAAUGUUAUCUAUACUCCUGACUUGGUCGUUUUAAAAUCUUUACUGCGGUAUUUUAUCUUUAGACGGAAAAAGAAUGAAAUCUAUUGUUUGAUUUUCACAGAAUACUCUAUUUACAAUGAGGAAAAAUCAAUAAAUAUGGUGAGACAUUCUAUCGUCUACCUAUGAAAGAAUGAUAGCAACAACAAAUUUUCAACAUCGCAAAUCGAGUUCGUGUUGCCUGCUUCGCGAAUGGGACGUGGAAAUGCUGAGCCGGAAGUUUACUAGCAAAAUGAAGCGCCACUGAUAGUCGAAGUGUAAUGGUUGGACAUCGCGCAACGUUCAACUUCAGGAAACCUCCAUGCUACUCGUUUAUGGCUCUCAUCGAUUAUUGCAGUACUGAAGUUUGCGAUUCACUAGUUCCUACGUCGCAUCGUCUCCAUUAUUGUGGCCGAUUUAAACAACAGAAAAAGGGCAGAACAAUCCUCAAAAAAACGAAGCUAGUGAUUGAUUUGCGUGUACCGUAUGUGAGACCAAUCAAUUUAUUAGCUGGCUCUGAGGCGCCAUCGAAAGCAAUCUUCCUAAAACUUGAGUUUAUAUGUUUUAAACAUGUUCAUGAUCAUCGUACUGAGGGUGCAAUUAAACGUCACACAAAACAACUAGUCCUGGCAAUUCUUUCAAUUAGAACUUCAGCUCAACAAGGUUAAUCAUUAGCAUUUCUAUGUUGCACAUCCGAGCUGAAGUUUCACGUCCGUCCCGUAUUCUUUAAAAAAUUGUAAAACCUCCCAAACCAGCAUGUGCAUUUCGAAAAGUGCGGAAUCACGUAUCUCCGUUAGUGAAGUUGCAGACUUCCUUUAAUACUCAGUUGUUUCUUUGGAAACCUAGCCUGCACAAUUUCCUGAAAACUGAUUCGAUUUUCCUUCUCUGUUAGCAUAAUAUUCUGUAUACAUUUUCAGCCGUGAAGUUGGCUUGUUUUUUGUCGAAAAAAUAAAAUAAAAGCAGAAAUGUUGAAACACUACAGUAGAGGUGCGUGCACUGCAAUUAAUUGGAGAUUAGCGAUUUAUGUAUUAUGAAUCUAGAUUUGUGUUGAUAAGUUUUUCCUGUCACAUUCUGAUGACAAAAAUGGUUCAUGACUGACUUUGAAGGCUUUGAAUUGAUCAAGAUCUGAGAUUUGAUUACGUGAGUUACGGAGGACUUCAUCUUUUUGCCUAUUUAAAAUUUUAGUUCCGUGCAUCCUGAUGGUUGAAAUUUUGUGUUUGUCGUCCAGUUAAGACAAGAUGAAGGAGAAUUGAGUUCUGAGAUUGGUCAGUUUUAUCCUUCGUACUCUUUUUGUCGUCGAUAAAGGAUGGAUUCAACGACAUAGUAUUAACAACUCAAGAGAUGCCCUUAGCUUCUCGAUCAUUACAUCAUUUAUCGACGAGAAAAAGGAGACGAAGGAUAAAGCUGACCAAUCAUAGAACUCGAUUCUCCUUUCUUGUUUGAACCGGCCGACAAGCACAAAUUUCAAAAAUCAGGCUGCUUGGCAAACAGAGACAAUGCAUCGAUGACCAAAGUACGAAAUCACGUAUCUCCGUUCAGGACGUUACAGACUUCCUGUCAUACUUUGUUUUUUUUUUUAUGCUGAAAACCAGUCAUCGUAAUUUCUUGAAAACUUCCUUGAAUUUUCUUCUCUGCGAGUAGAAUAUUCCAUACGAAGUUGACUUGUUCCUCUGCACGCAGAGGCAUAGGUGGUUUCGCACUUUAGCCAUCGAUACAUUGUGUCUGUUUGCCCGCACUGAUAUCCUCCAAAGAAUAUAAAAUUCACUCUUAGAGGUCAACGUUUAGUUUCGCCGAAUGAUGAUUCAUGUCCGCAGACAUUCGCAAUUGAUGGCUAUUAGCAAUCCCAACCCAAUUUUUAAAAAUCGCCAAGCAAAGAGUUUACCAUGAUAUUCAUCAGCUAAUAUUAAGCGGCCUUUAUUUGAUUUUUUGCCCAUCAAGCUGCUCAUUAAUCAUCAUUAGGUAAAAAUAGCGUCGACCUACUCCUACAACUGUUGGUUCACCCGAUUACAUUGCUUAGAAUAUUAGUGCGAGUCUCUAAAAUAUCUGUAAUGUCUCUCCUAGCAAAUGACCUGGCAUGGUCGUCAGGAUGGGUAAAAUCAGAUACAAAAUGGAGGUCCCUCCAGCAACCUCUCGGUGGCAGGUGGAAAUUCCUACUUUUAAAGCUCCAUUGCUGAACGCUUGAACGCCGGUUGUUGUAAGUACAGCGUGAUGAUCAAUCCGUUCAGCGAAAAAGCACACCUCUACGGCAAAAUUGCAGGAUCGCGUACCUCACUUUGCGAUGCUGAAGAUUUCCAGUCAUGAUUUAAUUUAUGAAUGGCGACAUACCUGACUCUAUUCUUGAAAAUUUCCCUGCUUUUUUUUCUUUCUCGAUGUGCAGGACGGAUUUCAUCCCUUUGGACAAAGGUUCAGAAGCCUAAAGCGUCACUGCCACACGUGUGCUGGAGUCCAGCAAAUACGUAGCCACGAUCCCCGUGAUGCCGGUGUUUUCCUUGCGUGAGUAUCGGAGACUGAAAAAAACCGAAUGGGUCACCGGGCGUCGCAAGUACUUGCGGUAAAACGAGCUGGUCUCGUUCCGGUAUCCGACCCCUUCCAUCAUCGUCGCGAUCUCCUCGGGGGAGUAGUGGUCGAAGACGAAGAGGGUGCCGUCCACCCUCUGGAUGACGAUGUGGUGGCAGGCCCGAAAACAGGGGAAGUAUACGACGACCGGGAACUUGUCUUGGUUCAGGUACGGCAGCGUGAAGAGCGGAGCGUCCAACUGGAUCACCCGCCGCCCGUCCACCGUUCGCAGAAGUGUUUUGAUUGCCGUCGUCAAGUUCAAGCAGCUUGCCUCGAAGCUUGAAUUGCUGUGAGUCUGGAAGCCAUCCAGUGCGCUCAAGUACCCGUCCACGUCCUUCAGGCUUAUCCCCACGAGCCGGCCAGAAAACACUGCAAGCAGUUACAAGAAGAAAGAAUAUCUCGGAGAACUCCCACUUUGGUGUUCCCGAGACGAAAGAAUGAAACUGAAUUUCAACGAGGUACAAUUUUCAGUCGCUAUGUUACAAAUCGAGGAGUGAAAUUUGGUGCCGGAAUCUAUGUAGCGGCUAAAUCCCCGAGUGAUAUCGUCGCUCCCCUGACGUAACAAUAGGUAUCUCAAUUUCCACGCGAGUCCUGUUCCCCAUGUGAUUUUGCUACGUAUUCUGGGGCUCACGUUAAUGUUGAGGUACGUCCUUGCGUCAAAGGAGAGACGAUAUGAAUGCGAAGUGAAAAAAGCACGAUACAAGUCUAUGAAAUUCCACAAGAAGAGUAGUUUCCGCUCCGUAAUAGUGUAAUAAGUCACUCCGUAAGGAGCUCAAAUUUUGCUCCGCAUUUACAACUCUCGGGGUUUUGUGGCGAUAUGUAGACUCCGGCAUAGACUUUCACUCCAAAAUUUUUAACAGUGCGCGAAUUGUACUUUUAUUCGGACACUCUUGGACGGUUUUAACUAAAAAUGCUCUUCCGAUUGUACUCAAAAAUCAGCAAAGUGUGAGGCAGAGACUGCACAUUUAAUUUCUUGUGAAAAAAUUGAAUCGUAAGAGUCAAUUGGACGUAUUUCUGCCAAACGAAACUAUGUGCAUUAUGACGUGAGCCCUGUUAUACACAUAUUCUUAUGGGUUUCAGGGCUCAUGUCCUAAUGCACAUAGUUCUGUUUGAUAGAAAUACGUCCAAUUUUACAACCUUGAAAGUCUGAGUUACGUUCUUUCGUUUUGGAAUCGACAACUUGCGUAUAAACGCAUAAAGUAAAACACACCUCCUGAAAUCCAAAUGACUUCUUCACAGGAAACUUCAUCGCAUAUGGCAUCGCCCUAAAGAAUACGUAAUUCAUUACCCAUUAUCAAAAUAACAAUGAUUGAUUUGGAGUUCGCGUUAAGAAUAUUUGACCAAUUUUACAGUAAGAAUGAGGUUUUUGUUUUAAUUACUUUCAUGCGAAACUGAAAGCUGUUGAGCUCCUUUCAAGCACCUCGAAAGUGCAAAAACAUAAUUGGUAUGGACUCUAAACCAUACCAUCAAAAAAUUGCAAUUUAAUUGAGGUACAGUCGCAGGAGGAAACUGUAACGUAGAUAUGUCCUAUAGUUGUAGUUGUAGUUGCCUAUCGUCUCAAUUUAAGGCGCAGAGAUGAUCUCUACCAGUGGCGUGGCGUGACUAUAUCCGGUAGGCGUUCGGUAGGAGUGUUAACUUUAGGAGGGGGGGGGGGGGUCAGAAAGGUUCACUCCCCUUCCUUAAAGGGGGGUUCGGGGGGCCUCCCCCGGAAAAUUUUUAAAAAAUGAAGCCGCAAGAACACGAUUUUAACCGUUUCUGGUGAAAAUUGUGCCGGUAAAUUGUCAUUGAAAUUUUGUUCUUUUUACCGAUCGUUUUCCUGUAAUUUAUUUUGUUAAAUGAUAACGUAUUUUCGCAACACGCUCCUGCAGAGAGAGGUGGGAGAGGGAGACUGGGAAACUGGGAGAUGCGGCCCGCAGGCGAAGGGGGGAAGCGUAGGGCGAAUGGCGGCAUAGAGGAAAUUCGGCGGUUCGCAAACCCCUGCGGACCACUGCUAUAGGAAACAGCUGGACUGAUGAGCGGCUCUCCUCUCUCGUUCUUUUCCCCUCCCUUUUCUCUCUGCUGUGUUCCCUCCGCGAGCGCGGUC